rnacentral:rRNA from 1 species
UACGUAGGGUGCAAGCGUUGUCCGGAAUUAUUGGGCGUAAAGAGCUCGUAGGCGGUUUGUCGCGUCUGCUGUGAAAUCCCGAGGCUCAACCUCGGGUCUGCAGUGGGUACGGGCAGACUGGAGUGCGGUAGGGGAGAAUGGAAUUCCUGGUGUAGCGGUGAAAUGCGUAGAUAUCUGGAGGAAUACCGGUGGCGAAGGCGGCAUCCUGGACCGAGAUUGACGCUGAUGAGCGAAAGCUAGGGGAGCAAACGGG